AUUCUGCCCAAGCGGAGAAGGAUGAGAAGCUUCGACUAAGGUUCGACUCGAGCGCCAGCGAGAGAGCGUUGCCGCAGGCAA
rnacentral:sRNA from 2 species